AGUCUGGCAUUACCGGCCCACC
rnacentral:miRNA from 1 species